ACUGUGAUCACCGUCCAUGGCCGCCUGCGGAUACCCACGCCGUGCUCAGAAGAGGGCUCUGAGGCCACGCCCGCCUGUGGGGUCGGUGGCCGGGCUUCCGGGACCCCAGAGGGAGUCGUCGCGCGCUAGGUGGAGGGGACCCCUCUGGAAUCCGGCGAUCCCCGGGCGCAGAUGCAGGAGCGGGUGGGGAGAGCCGCGUUCCUGGCAUGUUUGCCUCGAGUUAGUCACGAAGGAAUCGAAGAGAGCCUUAGUCUUCGAGGCUUUUCCCUUCCUGUGAGCCCCUUUGAGGCCAGCACAUUGAUUUUUUUUUCUUUCGCAGAACAAUUUCGGACCUCCUGGGGUCUAUGCUAGGUAUGAGGUGUAUCUUUGCCCUCCAUCAAGUAGCAAAGAUGGACAUGUAAACAAAUUUCGACACUGUGAUGACUGCCACAAAAAGCAGCAUUAUGAGGUUGAAUGUAAAAGGAUAACCUUAGCGGCGGCGGGGGCCGGAGGAUGAAGGAAGGCUUCCUGAGGUAGGCGCUGGUUGAAACUGAAGUUGGAGAGAGCAAGUGGCAUUUGCUGAAGUGCAUUUCCGGUAGAAAACUCCAGUGGUCCCUCACCUGACUGAGUGGCGCAGUCAGAGAUAAAUGGAACAGAGUCUACAAAUAAACAUUUUAUAAAGAUGAUCCUUCAAUACAUAUUCUACAGCCCAGUUAAAAUGUGAGAGGCCAUGAUCUACAGACAGCCAUUUAUAAAGGUGGAUCAGGGCCGGACACGGUGGCUCAACGUCUGUAAUCCCGGCACUGUGGGAGGCCAAAGCGGGAGGAUCGCUUGAGCCCAGGAGUUCGAGACCAACCUGGCCAACAUGCUUUAUGUGAUUGACACAGACAUGGAAGAGAUCUGGUCCUUAUGAAGAAUUCUGUGCUCGCAGGAAAGAUCUGUAGGAAUAAUGAAAUGCUUUCUUCAUUGAUGAGAUGAAGUCUCUGUUUUUCAGGCAAGUUGACAGAACAAAACAAUGAGAAACGAACUUCUUUAGAAGGUUGAAUGAAAGUAAGAUCUAGAUGAAAAAGUCAUUGGCCAAAGAUAAUUUUUUAAAAAAAACAUUCUAUGUUAACCCUUGGAAAAAAAAACAAAAAACAACCCAGAGAAAU
rnacentral:lncRNA from 10 species